ensembl:miRNA ocu-mir-361 ocu-mir-361
UUAUCAGAAUCUCCAGGGGUACUUACAAUUUGAAAAAGUCCCCCAGGUGUGAUUCUGAUUUGC